AACAAAUAUUUAAUCUCAGUGACUGCAAGCAUCAUCUCGGGGGCACAAGCCUUUCUGCCUCGCUCUGUGAUCUUGGUAAGCCUUAGGCUAAAAAGAUUCCUGCCAAAGAUAGCUAAUCUCAGAAGCAACAUAACAAUGCUUAUACUCCGCAGAGGGAAAGAAAACUGAUCCAUGAAGUUGCUAUUUGCAUAAAACACAGAAGCAUCUGUCAUAGACUCCUUUCUGGUUGAGUCUGGCAUCCAGGGAUCACUCAGCUGGUCUGCCUCAGCACUGGGCUCCCAUGAAGGCAAAGGGUCCCCAGUGAGGACUGCAUCCAGGUGCAAGAAGUCUGAGUCAUAUGGGUGGCGAUGAAAUGUACCCACCUGUGUGAAUAAAUGAAGACGCUUACCUAGAUUCCUUAUUUAAUAGGAUACCAAACGCAGUUUUUAAAAAGGUAUCCUGUAGCAGAAUGUAUCCUUA
ensembl:lncRNA